AAAGAAUUAGUUAAACUAUAACAUUAGUAUGUCAAACUAAAAUUAUUAAAUAUUUAAUAUUCUUUA
rnacentral:tRNA from 1 species